GAGCAUGAUGGCUCUGUUUUUCUCAAUGUCCAGCAGGCUUAAACCAAUAUUCCUUGUCUUCAAUUCAUUGCUCAGAGGUGACCCAGAUGAGCAAAGAGUAUGAUAAAAGAUUUCCUUUUGUCUGUAUAAAUACUUCAGGAUUGCUUCAUGUGUGUGAAGAGAAAACAAAAGUUGCAUGGUAGGAGCUGACUUAGAUUUUGUUAGAUACCCACCCCUUGUAUCUGAUAAAAUAUGAGGAUUCCAGCAUUAAGGCGGGGGAA
rnacentral:lncRNA from 1 species